AAUGAGCCUUAAGACAUCUUUACUUAUCUGAUCUGUUUUGUUUGGUGACAUCAAAUAUACUGAGUUGUCUUAAUGGGCCUUUGAGACUGAAAGCUUUUUAGGCCUUAGGUCUUCUCAUUUUGGCAAUGGAAGCUUUUCCAACCCCAAGAGGCCUCAAUUCAGGUUCAACUUUAUGAUACCUUGACUCAGUUAUAAAAAUACAUCCUCCCAUUAGCAGGAAUGCCAUGCCAAAUGUGCAACACAGAACUAGAUGGAGCUUAAUUCCUCCAGAGUUUA
rnacentral:lncRNA from 1 species